rnacentral:lncRNA from 1 species
CAGUAGUUCUCCUAGGUUAGAAAGGGUUGGUGGGCGGGAUAAGAGAAGCAGCUUAUUAAGAGCAACUACUUCCCCCUCGUCUAGGUCAAAUUCACAUAUGUAAGAUAGCUUGAAUGAAAGAUGGAUGCUAGGUAGGACCAGAUUCCAUCCCAUCGGUUGAUCAAUCAAGAGAGGUAGGAAUAAACCAAUACUAACUAACUAACCGAUACAGGGAGCAAAGGUCCUAGGUAGAUGGUACGCUUCGCCUCGCUUCUUCACCCGGUGGCUGAUAUAUCUAUUCAUUACUGGGCUAUUCCCACGUACUCACUGACGAACUGUACUAACUGGUGGGUUGAUCCAGGUAGUAAAUUGCUUGCUCAGUCUUUCCAUCUGAACAAUGUUGAGCUAGCAUGGAUCCCAUGGAAGUCUCUGUUAUUGACAAAUAUAGGAGUAGAGGUUUUCCUGGGAUUGGAGGUGCUAGCAAAUUGGCCAAGUAUUCUCUAAUUCUGUCAAACGCCCAUUGACAUUGUUCAUUCCACUCCUUGGGUUGGUUUUUCUUGAGCAGCUUAAAUAUUGGUUCGCAAACCACCGUUAACUGAGAUAUGAAAUGGCUGAUGUAUUGGAUCUUGGAGCUUAUCGUCAGAAACGAAUCGACUUAUACAGUCCCGGGUUUUAUCAACUAUUUGGAGCUUUCGUUCAGAGAUGAUGGAGUCGUGGGUUGGGCUGGCUGCUAUAUAUAUAUACUUGAACGACAUGGGAGGGAUCGGCUGGUGGGUG